rnacentral:rRNA from 1 species
UGGAGAAGGAGCAUGAGAAAUGGCUACUAUUUCUAAGGAAAGCAGCAGGCGCGUAAAUUAUUCAAUGGGAAUAUCUUCCCGAAAUAGUGACAAAAAUACCGAUGUAUUAGACUACGUCUAGUACAAUUGGAAUGGAACAAUCAAACCCUAUUGAGUAACAAUUAGAGGGCAAGUCUGGUGCCAGCAGCCGCGGUAAUUCCAGCUCUAAUAGCGUAUAUUAAUACUGUUGCAGUUAAAACGCUCGUAGUUGAACUUAGGAUUAUUACAAGUCUGGUUUUGUUGAUUCAAAACUGCUUGCUUAAUCCUUAUCUACUAGAUACUCUAUUCUGUACUUAAUUGUAUGGAUAUCACCUAGCCCAGUGGAACUUUGGUUAAAUGGUGCCUUUUAUUGUAUACCAGAGUGUAAAAAACUUGAAGUUUUAACAAGGGAUCACACUA